rnacentral:rRNA from 1 species
UACGGGGGGAGCUAGUGUUACUUAUCUUGACUGGGCGUAAAGGGUUCGUAGUUGUCCGGGAAAUUCAAAUGAAGAAAAGUUUAAAGCCUAACUUUAGAACUUCUGAGAAAAGCCUGUGGCUUGAGUCUAACAAAGGAUAACAGAAUUCUUAGUGAAGGGGUAAAAUCCAUCGAUACUAAUGAGGACUACCGAUCGGUGAAGACGGUUAUCUGUGGGAGACUGACACUAAUGGACGAAAGCGUAGGGAGCAAACAGGU